AUUGAACGCUGGCGGCAGGCCUAACACAUGCAAGUCGAACGAGUGGCGGACGGGUGAGUAAUGUUUGGGAAACUGGCUGAUGGAGGGGGAUAACUACUGGAAACGGUAGCUACUACCGCAUACCAUCAGAUGUGCCCAGAUGGGAUUAGCUAGUAGGUGGGGUAACGGCUCACCAAGGCGACGAUCCCUAGCUGGUCUGAGAGGAUGACCAGCCACACUGGCACUGAGCCACGGUCCAGACUCCUACGGGAGGAAGCAGUGGGGAAUAUUGCACAAUGGGCGAAAGCCUGAUGCAGCCAUGCCGCGUGGAUGAAGAAGGCCUUCGGGUUGUAAAGUACUUUCAGCGGGGAGGCGUUAACCACAGAAGAAGCACCGGCUAACUCCGUGCCAGCAGCCGCGGUAAUAC
rnacentral:rRNA from 1 species